ACGUCUCCAGGUUUUUGUAUUUUAGACUUCUUCUUCUUUUGUGUAACUUUAGAGGUCCAACUCGGUGUCGUGUAGCCAUGCCCGCAUCUCUGGUCCUAGGUCGAAGAGGCUGGCUUCCGAGGGUGGUCUAUAUAAGGGGCAGAUGGUGAUUAUAUGGUCAGCGGUCUGCUCAGGGUCACCGCACUCGCAUGCCGCACUGUC